rnacentral:lncRNA from 10 species
GCAGGUGGGCCAUUUACAUCACCACGACAGUGUCCACAGGAGUUCCAGUUCCCUAAAUUCUCACCAAGACUGGUCAUCCUCUGUUGGAAAAAAACAUUCUAACAGGCAUCAGGGAUUUCUUGACAAUGGCAAUGAUGUGACGCCAUCCAGCAUCUAUUUGUGAGAACUCUAUUUGACAAAUCAUCACUGUGGGUGUGAACAUAAUGGAGACUUUCAUAGGAUGCAAUGGUUAAUAUUCAACAUUAGUCAAAAUUUACUCUAGUCCUACCCUUGGAGCUCUACUGGGUUGGAAAAAUAUUUUAGAUAAGGACAAUCAUUUCAUAGAGUUUUAAAAAUAAAGGCUAAAAUAAAUUUUCUGUAGCAAGAGUAUGAACUAUAUGUAGCCAGCAUACCCUUUUUUAGUGGCA